ACCAACGUUGAGGAAGGUGGUCUUGAUCGCGCUGUUGGGCCGGGACCAGUACCGCCGAAAGCGCAGGUCUGUGUGGGUCCAGAGAUGGUUAAAGUCCCGAAAGCAGGCAGGGGAGUUCCACGGUCUAAUUCAAGAGCUUCGACUGUUUGGACAGGAAUUCCGAAGUUACUUUCGUCUGGACCGAAGCCAGUUCGAUCACCUGCUCCAGAUGGUUGGAGCCAGGAUCACCCGGAUGGAUACCAACUACCGGGAGUCCAUCAGCCCAGUUGAACGCCUGGCGAUUUGUCUCCGAUUCUUGGCAACAGGGGACUCCUACAGGACCAUAGGAUUCAGCUUCUGAGUUGGAUGGUCCACGGUGGCAGGCAUUGUCCCCUCUGUGGCACAAGCCAUUUGGGACUGUCUGGAUGGUGAAUACAUGCCAGUCCCCAAGGAGGAAGACUGGAGGGCCAUCGCUGCCGAGUUCCUGAGGAGGUGGAAUUUCCCCAACUGUCUUGGCUCCAUUGACAGGAAACAUGUAGUAAUCCUGUUCACAGUUCUACAACUACAAGGGUACAUAUUCAGUUGUACUCUUGGCUGUAGUAGAUGCCAUCUACUGUUUCUGUGUUGUCGACGUUGGAGCUUAUGGCAAGGGAAGUGAUGGUGGGACCCUCCGGGACUCUGCCUUUGGCCAGGCACUUCAGGAUAUAUAUUCAGGACCCUGGAUAUUCCACCACCUGCAUCACUCCCUGGGGCUGAAGACCUGGGACCUUGUUCCCCACGUCUUCGUCGGCGAUGAGGCCUUCCCUUUGAGUCCCAACCUCAUGAGGCCCUACGCUGGACCCCAGCUGCCAUUGCCAAAGCCUGUAAGGAUCUUUAACAAACGACUGUCCAGGGCAAGGUUAGUUGUUGAAUGCGCCUUUGGGAUUCUGGAAGCCCGAUGGAGAAUGUAUUGCUUGGUCUCAGCCCCUCAAAUGUCGAUGCCUGCGUGAAGGCCACAUGUGUUCUCCACAACUACCUGCGGAGGUCAUUCCAGGAGCCGCUCCGGAUGGAGAUGGGAACGCCAAAUGGUCACCUUCCUGAUGUCACCAGGGCAGGUGCCAACAACGCCCCCAGACAGGCACUCCAGGUGAUGGAGAAGCUGACCACCUACUUCUCAUCGCCAGCACGUGAAGUCCCAUGGCAGUAUGCCGUGGAGUGAAACAGCUCUUUUAAGACCCCCCUACCACAAAGGUUAUUUUAAAAACCAUCCACCGUUGUCCAUAAAGUUGCAUUUUUCCCCCAGAUUACAUUAUGUAUCAUUGUCUCUCUUCAUUUGGAAGUUAUAUUUAAGUGACAUUUGGGAGUAAAGACCACACCUUAACCCCUUCCCUCUCCCAUUAACGUCAGUAUUGUACACACCUGGCAUGGUACACCUGGCAUGGUACACCACUAAUUAAGGUUAUACGACAUACAGUUAGUGUGAUAACAAAGGGAAAGGGUAACCUAGGUAACCUAGGGUCCAUACAUAUAGUACAGUUUACCACCAUGUUCACUGGCCUGACAAAAUACAGGUGGGGAAAAAAACGAAUUAGGAAGAGAAUGUGUUUUUAUUUUCAUCAAGAAAUAAGCAUAUUAAGUCUAAAUGAGAUAUUAAUAAACAACUGAAACAACUGA